AUUAGAAGGAGCAAUAUCCAUCUCUAUAUCCAUCCAACUCAAAUCAAGACAGCUCGAUUCGAAUAAAUUUUAACUUUGAUUUUGACUUUGAUCAGAUUCUCACGACUGCCAAUCUUCAUCGUUGGUAGUACUCCUUUGAUGAGUAUUCUGAAAUGAAUCGUGAUCAACGUUUAUCAGGUGAUGAUCAUCAAUUUCAGCCUCGAG
rnacentral:misc_RNA from 1 species